rnacentral:rRNA from 1 species
AGGACGAACGCUGGCGGCGUGCUUAACACAUGCAAGUCGAGCGGAAAGGCCCUUCGGGGUACUCGAGCGGCGAACGGGUGAGUAACACGUGAGUAACCUGCCCCUAGCUCUGGGAUAGCUCCGGGAAACCGGGAUUAAUAUCAGAUACGACCACUUUAGACAUCUGUCGUGGUGGAAAGGAUUCCGGCUAGGGAUGGGCUCGCGGCCUAUCAGCUUGUUGGUGGGGUAACGCCUACCAAGGCGACGACGGGUA